UACGUAGGGUGCGAGCGUUAAUCGGAAUUACUGGGCGUAAAGCGUGCGCAGGCGGUUGUUGUGUCGGUGGUGAAAUCCCCGGGCUUAACCUGGGAAUGGCCCAUGGAAACUGGCGAACUGGAGUGCGGCAGAGGGGGGUGGAAUUCCGGCGGUGGUAAGCAUGUGAAAUGCGGUAAGGAGAAUGCGAGGAACACCGAUGGCGGAAGGGACAGCCCCCCUGGGCUAGCCACUGACGCUCAGGCACGAAAGCGUGGGGAGCAAACAGGGAAUUA
rnacentral:rRNA from 1 species